rnacentral:rRNA from 1 species
GGCUUGGGAAUAUGCCUUGAGGUGGGGGACAACAGUUGGAAACGACUGCUAAUACCGCAUAAUGUCGUACGGACCAAAGGUAGGGGAUCUUCGGACCUUUCGCCUUUAGAUUAGCCCAAGUGUAGAUUAGCUAGAUAGGUGGGGUAAUGGCCUACCAUGGCGACGAUCUCUAGCUGGGUUUGAGAGGAUCGGAUUCAGGCCACACUGGGACUGAGACACGGCCCAGACUCCUACGGGAGGCCAGCAGUGGGGAAUAUUGCACAAUGGGCGAAAGCCUGAUGGCAGCCAUGCCGCGUGUGU